rnacentral:lncRNA from 1 species
CUAGGCACCUGGAAACUUGUCUCCAGCGAGCACUUCGAUGACUACAUGAAGGCUCUAGGCGUGGGGUUAGCCAACAGAAAACUUGGAAAUUUGGCCAAGCCUAGUGUGAUCAUCAGCAAGAAGGGAGACUAUAUCACCAUUAGAACUGAAAGUGCCUUCAAAAAUACAGAGAUCUCCUUCAAGUUGGGCCAGGAGUUUGAUGAAACUACAGCUGACAACAGAAAAACCAAGAGCAUUGUGACGCUGGAGAGAGGCUCCUUGAAGCAAGUGCAGAAGUGGGAUGGUAAAGAGACAACCAUAAAGAGAAAGUUGCUGGAUGGGAAAAUGGAAUGUAUAAUGAAGGGUGUGGUCUGCACCAGGAUUUAUGAGAAGGUCUGAGAAAAUCGUUGACUCAUCCAAAUGGUGUUUGCUCAUCUGAGACUGGAAAUUACUCAGCGAGUCCUGAGUUCACCGCAGCUGGUUGUUUGCUUUCUUCUGCCCUUGCCAUAUGUUUUAUAGCAAAGGUUUAAAUGAGAAUUAACCUAAAAUGUUAAUUUCGACAUUUUCCGUUUUCAUCCAUGUCUUUGCCAUGUUAAUCCUUCUGUAUCGACUACACAAAAGACAUCCCAUAAAAAUCACCGUUGCAGAGUGACAGCCUAAGCUGUGCUCAUUCUUUCUGUUUUAAAUAAUGAUAAAAAGAAGU